rnacentral:rRNA from 1 species
CUCGUAGGCGGUUCGGUAAGUCGGGUGUGAAAAUCCAAGGCUCAACCUUGGGACGCCACCCGAUACUGCUGUGACUAGAGUCCGGUAGAGGAGUGUGGAAUUCCUGGUGUAGCGGUGAAAUGCGCAGAUAUCAGGAGGAACACCUGCGGCGAAGGCGGCACUCUGGGCCGGUACUGACGCUGAGGAGCGAAAGCAUGGGGAGCAAACA